GCCAGGGUGGCUCAGUCAGUUGAGCAUCUGACUUCGGCUCAGGUCAUCAUCUCAUGGUCUGUGAGUUCGAGCCCCACAUCGGGCU
rnacentral:tRNA from 1 species